UACGUAGGAUGCAAGCGUUAUCCGGAAUUACUGGGCGUAAAGCGCUCGUAGGUAGUGUGUCAAGUCAAGGGUGAAAUCCCCGUGCUCAACGUGGGAACUGCCUUUGAAACUGUUACACUUGAGUGUGUGAGAGGAUAGUGGAAUUCCAGGUGUAGGAGUGAAAUCCGUAGAUAUCUGGAGGAACAUCAGUGGCGAAGGCGACUAUCUGGCACAUAACUGACACUGAGGAGCGAAAGCGUGGGUAGCAAACAGG
rnacentral:rRNA from 1 species